UGAUGGGGAAGGUUCUACGGAACCGAAGUAUCUGAUUCCAUGCUUCCAAGAAAAGCAUCUAGAGAGAGAAGUAGUGCCCGUACCGCAAACCGACACAGGUAGAUGAGGAGAGAAUCCUAAGGCCGACGGAAGAAUUGCAGUUAAGGAACUAGGCAAAUUGACCCCGUAACUUCGGGAGAAGGGGUGCCUGAGAAAUCAGGCCGCAGAGAAUAGGCACAAGCAACUGUUUAACAAAAACACAGGUCUCUGCUAAAGCGAAAGCUGAUGUAUAGGGGCUGACGCCUGCCCGGUGCUGGAAGGUUAAGGGGAACACUUAGCGAAAUAUCGCGAAGGUGUGAACUUAAGCCCCAGUAAACGGCGGCCGUAACUAUAACGGUCCUAAGGUAGCGAAAUUCCUUGUCAGGUAAGUUCUGACCCGCACGAAUGGCGUAAUGACUUGUGCACUGUCUCAACUGCAAAUCCGGCGAAGUUGUAGUGCGAGUGAAGAUGCUCGCUACCCGCGAUUGGACGGAAAGACCCCGUAGAGCUUUACUGUAGCUUAGCAUUGAAUUUCGGUAUUGUCUGUACAGGAUAGGUGGGAGACUGGGAAACUAGGGCGUCAGCCUUGGUGGAGUCGUUGUUGGGAUACCACCCUGAUAGUAUUGAAGUUCUAACUGGAUGCCAUGAAACUGGUGACAGGACAUUGUUAGGUGGGCAGUUUGACUGGGGCGGUCGCCUCCUAAAAUGUAACGGAGGCGCCCAAAGGUUCCCUCAGAACGGUCGGAAAUCGUUCGAAGAGUGUAAAGGCAGAAGGGAGCCUGACUGCGACACCUACAAGUGGAGCAGGGACGAAAGUCGGGCUUAGUGAUCCGGUGGUACCUCGUGGGAGGGCCAUCGCUCAACGGAUAAAAGCUACCUCGGGGAUAACAGGCUGAUCUCCCCCAAGAGUUCACAUCGACGGGGAGGUUUGGCACCUCGAUGUCGGCUCGUCGCAUCCUGGGGCUGAAGUAGGUCCCAAGGGUUGGGCUGUUCGCCCAUUAAAGCGGCACGCGAGCUGGGUUCAGAACGUCGUG
rnacentral:rRNA from 1 species